rnacentral:misc_RNA from 1 species
GUGGGAGCAGGCUUGCCUGCGAUGGCGGAGCGUCAGUCAGUAAAUGUGCUGGCUGAUACUCCGCCAUCGCAGGCAAGCCAGCUCCUAC